rnacentral:ncRNA from 2 species
CGAGUGAGCCGGGCAAUCGCGUGCGCAAGCAUGAGGAAAGUCCGGGCUCCCAAGGGCAAGAUGCCAGCUAACGGCUGGGCGGGGCGACCCGACGGACAGUGCCACAGAAAAGAAGACUCCCCUGCAUGCAGGAGAAAAGCUGAAACGGUGCGGUAAAAGCGCACCAGUGCGUUGGCAACAACGUAGCUUGGUAAACCCCAUCUGGAGCAAGCGCAAAUAGGAAUGCCAUACGGCCGCCCUUCCGUGCAUUCGGGUUGCGU